CCCGUAAAAACCAGUGUCUCUCACCUGCGUACUGUGUGCACUAUUCCAAUUUGUCAAUAACACAGGUAAUGCAUCCAAUGCAUAACGGUAUAAUGGCGCCCGGUUUACGACGACGUAAGCUUAAUUCACAGGCAGCUAAUGACUUCCCUUGAUCAUACAGCUGACUAAUGCAGUUAAUUACUCGACUGCAGAUCAUUCGCCGAACGCGAUCUGCGCACCUGGGACACACAAAGUCUGUGCACUAAUUGGGCCAAUCGGUAGGAGCCAGUCGUAACGUGAAAAAAUAGUGACUGUGGAAACGUUAUAUUCCGGUGAGUACGUAAACAGUCAUUUAUAAUUUUCCUAAAAGAUCUUCACCGCUUCUAUCACGUGUCGAACAAUCAAUCAGUAAAAUCGACCACAAUACUCUUAUUGUAAUGUCACGGAUAAUCAGAAACCCCGCUACGUACGUAAACGCCGUGAUCGAAUUUCAGCCGCGCUAGCUUGAUGGAACGACCGGGGAUUUCGUCGACAUUGUGUAGGUGGCGCGGCAGACUGUAGUACGUAAACACGAGGAAGCCAAGCCGAGUCGGCUAGGCUGGGGAGGGGAUAGGGAUCGGAGCUAUUGCAACGAGGACACUCGGCGUCUCGACACUGCCGCACUUAAGUCGAUCCAACAACAAGGAACGUCAAUGGCGUCUGGAGAGCGUCCUUCGUGAUGCGAACGACAAGCAGGGCAACAUUUGAUUAAUCUGAAGCAAUCGGUUGCGCGAUGCAGGCUGGGCAACGAAAAGGAACAAAAAGGAAUAAAGAAAAAGUGCUUUGGUUGGAUGGAUAUAAGCUGAGCGUCCUGGACGUAAUGCCUUUCCGGGAAAACAUUGGCCCGGACAAACUUUCCUCCAUGCAAGUUCCGUUUCGUGGCGAGGAACUUCCAACAGAGUCGGGCGGACGCUUACGACGAAUUAAGAUGCCCGGUUCCUUUGGGUCCCCUUGUGUACAGACCUUUACCCGUCUCGUCCGUCCAAACGCAAAUGGUCUCAACCGAGCAUUACGUUUCAGGUACAUUCGUGAAUUCACCUCAAGGAGAAAACUUGGGCUCGUAUGCGGUCCCAACAUUAAAUCCCUAUACAAGAGUAGAGAGCGAGGAGGAAGCCAUUUGCGGCGGUUGUAGCAGCGCUCUGUUAAUGCCAGCAGCAGCAGUGCCAGUCGUGCUAGUAUCACUGGUAAGAGUAGUAGCGACAAUAGUAGUAAGCAGUACUAAUACCGGUAGUACAGGGAAGCAAUGGAAUUUCAGUAGCGAUAAUAGAAAUACAUAACGAGAAAUCCAAGAGUAGAGGGAACACAGUGUAUAAACGACUGAUAAGUCUCAGGAAGGCGACCUGAUUCAUUCGGCGGUCCAAGUACAAUUUUUUGUUCUCUCUACUUUAUCGACGCGUUCUUGCUUCGCUGAACUAACAGCGCUAAAGUGACAGAUAGAUAAAGGAGUACGUGUAAUAAAUGUAAAAUUAACCGAACAGUUAUAAAUCUUAGCGCGAAGGAGAUACGAGAUUUUAUGUCCAUCAAAGUAUUAUCAAGGUCAAGCAUGAAAUUAUGUAUGCACUGUGAAGAAAAUCGUAUGGUUGUAAAUGACAUGAAGAACGACAAAUUGAAAUAGCAAGAACGAAAAAUUGUAUGAGGAUUUAUUAUUGUGCCUGCGAGUCUGAUAAAUGUUCUAGGACGCCAUCUUAUCGAAAUUGUUGUUACUAAUAAAUAUAAUUGAUGUUGAAAAAAUA